UACGAAGGGGGCUAGCGUUGCUCGGAAUCACUGGGCGUAAAGCGCACGUAGGCGGAUCUUUAAGUCAGAGGUGAAAUCCCAAGGCUCAACCUUGGAACUGCCUUUGAUACUGGGGAUCUCGAGUCCGGAAGAGGUUGGUGGAACUGCGAGUGUAGAGGUGAAAUUCGUAGAUAUUCGCAAGAACACCAGUGGCGAAGGCGGCCAACUGGUCCGGUACUGACGCUGAGGUGCGAAAGCGUGGGGAGCAAACAGG
rnacentral:rRNA from 1 species